rnacentral:rRNA from 1 species
AACGAACGCUGGCGGCAUGCCUAACACAUGCCAGUCGAACGAGACCUUCGGGUCUAGUGGCGCACGGGUGCGUAACGCGUGGGAACCUGCCCUUAGGUUCGGAAUAACACCCCGAAAGGGGUGCUAAUACCGGAUAAUGUCUUCGGACCAAAGAUUUAUCGCCUUUGGAUGGGCCCGCGUUGGAUUAGCUAGUUGGUAGGGUAAAAGCCUACCAAGGCGACGAUCCAUAGCUGGUCUGAGAGGAUGAUCAGCCACACUGGGACUGAGACACGGCCCAGACUCCGACGGGAGGCAGCAGUGGGGAAUAUUGGACAAUGGGCGAAAGCCUGAUCCAGCAAUGCCGCGUGAGUGAUGAAGGCCUUAGGGUUGUAAAGCUCUUUUACCCGGGAUGAUAAUGACAGUACCGGGAGAAUAAGCUCCGGCUAACUCCG